CGGGUCCUACGGGACGCAGCAGUGAGGAAUAUUGGUCAAUGGACGAGAGUCUGAACCAGCCAAGUAGCGUGAAGGAUGACUGCCCUAUGGGUUGUAAACUUCUUUUAUAAAGGAAUAAAACGAGGCACGUGUGCCUUUUUGCAUGUACUUUAUGAAUAAGGAUCGGCUAACUCCGUGCCAGCAGCCGCGGUAAUACGGAGGAUCCGAGCGUUAUCCGGAUUUAUUGGGUGUAAAGGGUGCGUAGACGGGAAAUUAAGUUAGUUGUGAAAUCCCUCGGCUCAACUGAGGAACUGCAACUAAAACUG
rnacentral:rRNA from 1 species